GACGAACGCUGGCGGCGUGCUUAACACAUGCAAGUCGAACGGAAAGGCCCUGCUUUUGUGGGGUGCUCGAGUGGCGAACGGGUGAGUAACACGUGAGUAACCUGCCCUUGACUUCGGGAUAACUUCAGGAAACUGGGGCUAAUACCGGAUAGGAGCUCCUGCUGCAUGGUGGGGGUUGGAAAGUUUCGGCGGUUGGGGAUGGACUCGCGGCUUUUCAGCUUGUUGGUGGGGUAGUGGCUUACCAAGGCUUUGACGGGUAGCCGGCCUGAGAGGGUGACCGGCCACAUUGGGACUGAGAUACGGCCCAGACUCCUACGGGAGGCAGCAGUGGGGAAUAUUGCACAAUGGGCGGAAGCCUGAUGCAGCAACGCCGCGUGCGGGAUGACGGCCUUCGGGUUGUAAACCGCUUUCGCCUGUGACGAAGCGUGAGUGACGGUAAUGGGUAAAGAAGCACCGGCUAACUACGUA
rnacentral:rRNA from 1 species